CCCCAGCUGGCUCAGUCAGUAGAGCAUGUGACUCUUGAUCUCAGGGUCGUGAGUUUGAGCCUCACGAUGGGUG
rnacentral:tRNA from 1 species